rnacentral:rRNA from 1 species
GGAGGAAUUGGCGGGGGAGCACCGCAACGGGAGGAGCGUGCGGUUUAAUUGGAUUCAACACCGGAAAACUCACCAGCGGCGACUGUUACAUGAAAGUCAGGCCGAUGACCUUACUAGAUUUUCAGAGAGGUGGUGCAUGGCCGUCGUCAGUUCGUACCGUAAGGCGUUCUCUUAAGUGAGAUAACGGACGAGACCCUCACCAAUAGUUGCUACUCCAUCCUCCGGGGUGGAGGCACACUAUUGGGACCGCUGGCGCUAAGUCAGAGGAAGGAGAGGUCAACGGUAGGUCAGUAUGCCCCGAAUCUGCUGGGCUACACGCGCGCUACAAAGGGCGGGACAAUGGGCUCCGACACCGAAAGGUGAAGGUAAUCCCGAAACCCGUCCGUAGUUCGGAUUGAGGGUUGUAACUCACCCUCAUGAAGCUGGAUUCCGUAGUAAUCGCGAAUCAACAACUCGCGGUGAAUAUGCCCCUGCUCCUUGCACACACCGC